GACAGAGGGUGCUAGCGUUGUUCGGAAUUACUGGGCGUAAAGGGCGCGUAGGCGGUCUGUUAAGUUCGGUGUGAAAUCCCCUGGCUCAACUGGGGAACUGCGCUGGAAACUGGCAGACUCGAGUACCGGAGAGGAGAGUGGAAUUCCUGGUGUAGCGGUGAAAUGCGUAGAUAUCAGGAGGAACACCGGUGGCGAAGGCGGCUCUCUGGACGGUACUGACGCUGAGACGCGAAAGCGUGGGGAGCAAACAGG
rnacentral:rRNA from 1 species